AAGUCAGUAUCUGCAGACCCGAAACCGGGUGAUCUAUCCAUGUCCAGGUUGAAGUUGCCGUAAAAGGCAAUGGAGGACCGAACGCACAUCCGUUGAAAAGGGUGGCGAUGAGGUGUGGAUAGGGGAGAAAUUCCAAUCGAACCCGGAGAUAGCUGGUUCUCCUCGAAAUAGCUUUAGGGCUAGCCUCGUAUUAAUUCCAUGGAGGUAGAGCACUGAAUUUCCUAGGGGGCGUCAAAGUCUACCGAAGAAUAUCAAACUCCGAAUGCCAUAGGAAUGAUGUACGGGAGUCAGACUGCACGAGAUAAGUUGGGCAGUCAAAAGGGAAAGAGCCCAGACCUACAGCUAAGGUCCCAAAGUACGUGUUAAGUGGAAAAGGAUGUGGGAUUUCAGAGACAACUAGGAUGUUGGCUUAGAAGCAGCCAUACAUUCAAAGAGUGCGUAAUAGCUCACUAGUCGAGAGGUCCUGCGCCGAAAAUGUCCGGGGCUGAAACACGACACCGAAGCUUAGGAAUGUGAGUAAUCACGUUGGUAGAGGAGCAUUCUUACCGGGAAGAAGCAGUAUUGUAAGGUAUUGUGGACUGGUAAGAAGAGAGAAUGCCGGAAUGAGUAGCGAGAUGGAGGUGAGAAUCCUCCAGGCCGAAUAUCUAAGGUUUCCAGGGUAAAGCUGAUCUGCCUGGGUAAGUCGGGGCCUAAGGCGAGGUCGAAAGACGUAGCCGAUGGACAACAGGUUGAGAUUCCUGUACUAUCAUAUGACAGAACUGUGGGGACACAGAGGGAAAGCCUGAGCCGGGAAAGGGAAACCCGGUGCAAGCGAAGUAGGAGCUGGACUGGCAAAUCCGUCCAGCAAUCCGAAGGCGUGACGCGUACCGAAUUCAAGUAGGGAAGCAGGUGAGCAGCUGUCGAGAAAAGCCGCUAUUGUUCAUAUGAUACCCGUACCGUAAACCGACACAGGUGGAUGAGGAGAGAAUCCUAAGGCCGGCGGGAGAAGCAUUGUUAAGGAACUCGGCAAAAUGACCCCGUAACUUCGGGAGAAGGGGUGCCUCUGAAAGGAGGCCGCAGAGAAUAGGCUCAAGCAACUGUUUAGCAAAAACACAGGUCUAUGCGAAACCGAAAGGUGAGGUAUAUGGGCUGACGCCUGCCCGGUGCUGGAAGGUUAAGAGGAGGAGUCAGGCAACGAAGCUCCGAAUUUAAGCCCCAGUAAACGGCGGCCGUAACUAUAACGGUCCUAAGGUAGCGAAAUUCCUUGUCGGGUAAGUUCCGACCCGCACGAAAGGCGUAAUGAUUUGAGCGCUGUCUCGACAAUGCACCCGGUGAAAUUGAAGUACCAGUGAAGAUGCUGGUUACCUGCGCCAGGACGGAAAGACCCCAUGGAGCUUUACUCCAGCUUGAUACUGGGAUUCGAUGCUGUAUGUACAGGAUAGGUGGGAGACUGAGAAGUGAUUACGCCAGUAAUCAUGGAGUCACUGUUGGGAUACCACUCUUGCAGCAUUGGGUUUCUAACCUGCGCCCGUGACCCGGGCGGGGGACAAUGUCUGGCGGGGAGUUUGACUGGGGCGGUCGCCUCCGAAAGGGUAUCGGAGGCGCUCAAAGGUUCCCUCAGGAUGGUUGGAAACCAUCCGAAGAGUGCAAAGGCAUAAGGGAGCUUGACUGUGACACCGACGGGUGGAGCAGGUACGAAAGUAGGACUUAGUGAUCCGGUGGUAUUAAGUGGGAAUGCCAUCGCUCAACGGAUAAAAGCUACCCUGGGGAUAACAGGCUUAUCACUCCCAAGAGUUCACAUCGACGGAGUGGUUUGGCACCUCGAUGUCGGCUCAUCGCAUCCUGGGGCUGUAGCAGGUCCCAAGGGUUGGGCUGUUCGCCCAUUAAAGCGGUACGCGAGCUGGGUUCAGAACGUCGUGAGACAGUUCGGUCCCUAUCCGGCGCAGGCGGAGGAUAUUUGAGAGGAGCUGUCCUUAGUACGAGAGGACCGGGAUGGACGGACCGCUGGUGAAUCUGUUGGCUACCAAAGCCAUGGCAGAGUAGCCAAGUCCGGCAGGGAUAAACGCUGAAGGCAUCUAAGCGUGAAGCCCCCCUCAAGAUGAGAUAUCCCAA
rnacentral:rRNA from 1 species